GACAGAGGAGGCGAGCGUUAUCCGGAUUCAUUGGGCGUAAAGGGUACGUAGGCGGCUAGUCAAGUCUGAGGUUAAAGACCACAGCUCAACUGUGGGAAGGCCUUGGAAACUGACUGGCUAGAGUGGGGCAGGGGUUGCGGGAAUUCCCGGUGUAGCGGUGAAAUGCGUAGAUAUCGGGAAGAACACCUGAGGCGAAAGCGCGCAACUGGGCCCUCACUGACGCUGAGGUACGAAAGCUAGGGGAGCGAAUGGG
rnacentral:rRNA from 1 species